rnacentral:rRNA from 1 species
GAAUCAUCGAGUCUUUGAACGCAUAUUGCGGCUCCGGGUCACUCCCGGAGCCACGCCUGUCUGAGGGUCGGCGAAAGUACUCGCAAGACUGCCUUGCUCUGGGCCGGUCGUACGUCUUGCGCCUUGGCCAGUCGCACUGCUCUUCUGCAGACUGCGUCGGCCGUAGCGGAGAAUGUGAAGGGUUCGCCCGUCCUUGGGCGCCGUCGCCACCGUUCGAAGUGUCGCGGGUGUCCCUACCCCCGGCGUCGACAGCGUGGAGAUGCGGCUCGCUUAACUGCGAGGCCUCGCGCUCCUGCCGUCGCUAGUCCGCGGGUGAGCUCCCGGGCUCGUUCGAGGUGUUGCGGGUGUCCCUACCCCCGGCGUCGACGAGCGUGGAGACGUGGCUCGCUUAACUGCGAGACUUCGUGCUCCUGCCGUCGCUAGUCCGCGGGUGAGCUCCCGGGCACUUUCGGAGGCGGUCCGUGCGCCAGCGAAUCCCUUGCGCUGUAAAGAAAACUGUGGGGGCUUUGCCCACUGCUUUUCUCACACUCCGACCUCAGAUCAGACGAGACUACCCGCUGAAUUUAAGCAUAUUAAUAAGCGGAGGAAAAGAAACUAA